UACGUAGGGUGCGAGCGUUAAUCGGAAUUACUGGGCGUAAAGCGUGCGCAGGCGGUUCUGAAAGUCAGCUGUGAAAGCCCCGGGCUUAACCUGGGAAUGGCAUUGGAAACUGGCGGGCUUGAGUGCGGCAGAGGGGGGUGGAAUUCCGCGUGUAGCAGUGAAAUGCGUAGAGAUGCGGAGGAACACCGAUGGCGAAGGCAGCCCCCUGGGUCGACACUGACGCUCAGGCACGAAAGCGUGGGGAGCAAACAGG
rnacentral:rRNA from 1 species